AACGCAGCGAAGGGCGAUAAGUAAUGUGAAUUGCAGAAUUCAGUGAAUCAUCGAAUCUUUGAACGCACAUUGCGCCCGGUGGUAUUCCGCCGGGCAUGCCUGUUCGAGCGUCAUUAGUCCAAAAUCACGUCUAACGUGGUCUUGGGGCCUGCCUCUGGGCAGCCCUUAAACGCAGUGGCGGCGCCGUCUGGCUCUAAGCGUAGUAAUUCUUCUCGCUAUAGGGUCCUGCGGAUGCUUGCCAGCAACCCCCAAUACACUAGGUUUGACCUCGGAUCAGGUAGGGAUACCCGCUGAACUUAA
rnacentral:rRNA from 1 species